UUGGACAGCAACUCACAUUUCAUUUUCCUCAAAACCAACUUGCAACAUUUAGUUGAAGAACCUAGUAAAAAUCAAAUCAGCGGCACAGAAAUGAAUUCUGGAUCUCUGUUUGGGUCACGGAAUUCAGUUCUUACGACCAGCGAGCAAGCCCAAUCGUCAGCAGGCGUUCAGCUACUCCCAUAAAAUUCAGUAACGAUGCAGUACUACAUGCAGGUAGUCACACGAUUUGAACAACUAAAAUACAAAUGGCCAAACAUUUCAGAAGAGUAGACAAGCAAACAUCGGCCAGACCAUCACCGAUACAGACAUAGUACCACCACUUCAGUUCAUAGAUAGAUAUCGGUUUGCCAAAAGCAGCAACUUCAGUACAACCAACGAGCCAACAAAGCGUUGGCAAUCACCCAGCAUACGUACUACUACACCACUACUUUGCAGAGAGAUAAGAUACAGAGACCAACUAGAGGGGACGGGCGCAUCAUCAGUCUAGGAGGAGGUGAACUUGGUGACGGCCUUGAUACUUCAGAGAGUACGUGAUUCAGUUCGAAUUCCAAGCCUUAACCCCUUCCUUCUAGAAAUUUACUGCUAUCUUAAAUGUAGAUGAUGACAAAAACAAUGGUUAGAUGUGCUGAAUGCUUGUACGUAAGUUUGAUAUAUGAGCGAAUGGGUGGGGCAGCAUUUGUUUGAUUGAUUCAUGCUGCAGCAGGUUAUAUUAGAACCAGAUUUGAAUCCAAGAACACACUAAUCGCAACUGCACAAGACUUGGUAUCUAAGGAAUCUGAAACCAAAAACUCUCUGACAUCAACACUCCAAUUCCAGCACAGGGAUAACAUGGUCAGAACAAGUCAGCAUGUAAUCCUUCAGAACAAGUGUGUAACCUCCGAAGCAGCAAGGCAGUACAAUUGGACAUUUCACUUUCCUCAAAAACAACUUGCAUUUGCCAUUCAGUUCCAAGUACUACCCAGUACUGUAAAAAUCAAAUCACAAACACAGAAAUGCACCAUCAUUUCUAAAUCAUCACAGAAUUCGGUUCUUCCGAGCCAACCGAAGUGUCAACGGGCAUUCAGCAACAGAACUCCCAUAAAUUAACAGUGAUGUAGCACUACUUCGGUCCUCACAAGCAACGAGGAACGAGCCAACGAAGCGUUGGCAAUCACCCAGCACAGACUACCAGCACUACUUGCAGAGGGAUAAGCAGAGUUAACAGAGAUGCAGAUACAGAGACCAACUAGAGGCGACGGACGCAUCAUCAGUUCAUCAGUCUAG
rnacentral:lncRNA from 1 species